UACGUAGGGGGCAAGCGUUGUCCGGAUUUAUUGGGCGUAAAGAGCGUGUAGGCGGCCAGACAGGUCCGUUGUGAAAACUCGAGGCUCAACCUCGAGAUGUCGAUGGAAACCGUCUGGCUAGAGUCCGGAAGAGGAGUGUGGAAUUCCUGGUGUAGCGGUGAAAUGCGCAGAUAUCGGGAGGAACACCUGUGGCGAAGGCGGCCACCUGGGCCGACCUGACGCUGAGGCGCGAAGGCGUGGGGAGCGAACGGGAGUAGAAACCCUAGUACGUCGAGA
rnacentral:rRNA from 1 species